rnacentral:rRNA from 1 species
UACAGAGGGUGCAAGCGUUAAUCGGAAUUACUGGGCGUAAAGCGUGCGUAGACGGUUGCGUAAGUCAGAUGUGAAAGCCCCGGGCUCAACCUGGGAAUUGCAUUUGAGACUGCGUAGCUAGGGUGCGGAAGAGGGAAGCGGAAUUUCCGGUGUAGCGGUGAAAUGCGUAGAUAUCGGAAGGAACACCUAUGGCGAAGGCAGCUCGCUGGGACGUUACUGACGCUGAGACGCGAAAGCGUGGGGAGCAAACAGG